rnacentral:pre_miRNA from 1 species
UCGUGCAGCAGGCGCAAAGCUAGGAAUGGCGGAACGCGAUGAUAUUCUAAUUAUCGGCGUUUUGCCACUGCUAGCUUUGUGCCUGCUGCACGAAA